UGAAAAGUUACACAUGGUACAACUCACAACCACAAUCAUAGGGAGAAAGAGCUAUUUUUUGGCCAGAACAUCCUCUUAGACUUGAGGAAUGCUGUCCAGGAUGAGGAAUGAUGGGGAGAGAGCCUGGGAGUCAACAGUUGGACAUAAAGGAUCAAAGAAAGGAAUGGGCAUAAAAGGAGAGGAGCCCAAGCAUGGAAAAGAGGAGAACAGAGAAGGGAGUCCUGAGGAGGAAGGAGGCAUCUGACACAACAGUGGUAAAAGCAUCCUUAGGAAACCCUGCUGUGUAUUGUGUCCUAUAGCUCUCCCACCACCUCUACCACAAGAGUCUUUGAGUGAAGCUCUCUGUGGCUUCCCCAGGCUUUUUUCUUUUUUCUUUUUGCAUGGGUAAGAUUUGUGUAUUUCAGGUUGUGAAACUGUGCUGAGAUUGUGCUCCAGGUGGCCCAGCGUACUCCGAAUGCAUCGUCCUUCUGCAUCACCACCAGGGAGUGUGAUAGAAUUUGCAGACUUUGUGCCACAGAGAAAAAAUAGAUUUAAGAACUUUGACUUAGGAGUAAGUCAAAGAUGCCCUGAUACAUACUAGUUAGAAUGGCAAACAAUUUUUUGAUAAUGAAAAAUGCCAAGUUUUGUUUAGAAUGUGGA
rnacentral:lncRNA from 1 species